GACGAACGCUGGCGGCAUGCCUAACACAUGCAAGUCGAACGAGGAGCGUCGGACGUUUCCUUCUAUCACUCGUAGUGACGAACGGGUGAGUCAUGCGGAAUCAACCUGCCCUCGCGAGAGGGUGCAGAGAUGGACACGACUGCCCGCGGCGCAUACGACCUAAUCACGGCAUCGAGGAGGGAUGCAAGGUGCCCUCUACCUUUUAGCUAUCACUGGAGGAGGGGCCUGCGUCUGAUUAGCUCGUUGGAGGGGUCAGGGCCAACCAAGGCGAUGAUCAGUAGCCGGUCUGAGAGGAUGAACGGCGAAAUUGGGACUGGGACACGACCCAGACUACUGCGGGAGGCAGCAGUCGGGAAUCUUCCGCAAUGGACGAAAGGGGGACGGAGCAACGACGCGUGAGUGAUGAAGGCCGUCGGGUUGUAUAGCUCUGUUAAUCGGGACGAAAGGCCUGCUUGUGAAUAGUGAGGAGGAUUGACGGUACCGGAAGAGAAAGCCACGGCUAACUACGUG
rnacentral:rRNA from 1 species